rnacentral:rRNA from 1 species
CCUACGGGAGGCAGCAGUGGGGAAUAUUGCACAAUGGGGGAAACCCUGAUGCAGCAACGCCGCGUGAGCGAUGAAGGCCUUCGGGUCGUAAAGCUCUGUCCUAAGGGAAGAAUACUGACGGUACCUUAGGAGGAAGCCCCGGCUAACUACGUGCCAGCAGCCGCGGUAAUACGUAGGGGGCUAGCGUUAUCCGGAAUCACUGGGCGUAAAGGGUGCGUAGGCGGCCCUGCAAGUCAGGAGUUAAAUCCCUCGGCUCAACCGAGGUCAGCUCUUGAAACUGUAGGGCUGGAGUGCAGGAGAGGGGAGCGGAAUCCGUAGGUUAGCGGGGAAAGGGGAGGAUAUGAGGAGGAGAACCAGGGGGGAAGGGGGCUCUCUGGACUGCAUCUGAGGCGGCGGCACGAAAGCGUGGGGAGCGAACAGAAUUAGAUGCCCCGGUAGUC